rnacentral:rRNA from 1 species
AAUCGAACCCGGAGAUAGCUGGUUCUCCCCGAAAUAGCUUUAGGGCUAGCGUCGCAGCGAGAGAGCCGUGAAGGUAGAGCACUGAAUAUGCGAUGGCCGCAUCCCGCGGUACUGAGCAUAAUCAAACUCCGAAUGUCACGGUGUCAUCUGCGGCAGUCAGACGGCGAGUGAUAAGGUCCGUCGUCAAGAGGGAAACAGCCCAGACCAUCAGCUAAGGUCCCAAAGUGCAUGCUAAGUGGAAAAGGAAGUGGAGACGUGCAGACAACUAGGAGGUUGGCUCAGAAGCAGCCAUCCUUCAAAGAGUGCGUAACAGCUCACUAGUCGAAUGACUCUGCGCCGAUAAUUUACCGGGGCUAAGCAUGACACCGAAGCUAUGGACAGGAAUGUGGUAGGGGAGCAUUGCAUGCAGCGGAGAAGCAUGACCGAAAGGGCAUGUGGAGCGCAUGGAAGAGAGAAUGCCGGCGUGAGUAGCGGCACGUGGGUGAGAAUCCCACGCACCGAUGGCCCAAGGUCUCCAGAGGAAGGCUCGUCCUCUCUGGGAUAGUCGGGACCUAAGGCGAGGCCGAAAGGCGUAGCCGAUGGACGACGGGUGGAUAUUCCCGUACCCGAUGUGUGGCGAUGGAGUGACGGAGAAGGCUCAGGCAACCAGCUGCUGGAAUAGCUGGGGCAAGCGAGAUACCUGCGCACCAGGGAAAUCCGGUGCGCAUAAGGGGAAGGCGCGAAGCAUACGGAAAGCUUCGGCAAGUACGGAAAAGCUGAGAGCAGGCUUCCAGGAAAAGCUUCUAGCACAACACACAUCGGCCCGUACCGAAAAUGGACACACAUGGGCAAGGAGAGAAUCCUGAGGUGAGCGAGAGAACUAUAGCUAAGGAACUCUGCAAAAUGACCCCGUAACCUAGGGAGAAGGGGUGCUCCAGAAAUGGAGCCGCAGUAAAACGGCCCAAGCGACUGUUUACCAAAAACACAGCUCUCUGCGAAGGCGCAAGCCGAAGUAUAGGGGGUGACGCCUGCCCGGUGCUGGAAGGUCAAGGGGAGCUGUCAGCGCAAGCGAAGCAGCGAGCCGAAGCCCCAGUAAACGGCGGCCGUAACUAUAACGGUCCUAAGGUAGCGAAAUUCCUUGUCGGGCAAGUUCCGACCCGCACGAAAGGCGUAACGAUUUGGGCGCUGUCUCAGCUGUAGACUCGGUGAAGUCUUAGUACCUGUGAAGAUGCAGGUUGCCCGCGACUAGACGGAAAGACCCCAUGGAGCUUCACUGCAGGUUGACAUUGGGCUUGGAUGCAUGAUGUACAGGAUAGGUGGGAGGCUGUGAGCCGUGCGCGCCAGCGUACGGGGAGCCGCUGUUGGGAUACCACCCUUCAUGCAUCUAGGUCCUAACCGGAGGCAACGGGCCACGGGACAGUGUCAGUCGGGCAGUUUGACUGGGGCGGUCGCCUCCCAAAGAGUAACGGAGGCGCCCAAAGAUACCCUCAGCAUGGAUGGAAACCAUGCAUAGAGUGCAAAGGCAUAAGGGUGUCUGACUGCGAGACAUACAGGUCGGGCAGGGACGAAAGUCGGGCUUAGUGAUCCGGCGGAUCCGAAUGGAAGGGCCGUCGCUCAACGGAUAAAAGCUACCCUGGGGAUAACAGGCUGAUCUCCCCCAAGAGUUCACAUCGACGGGGAGGUUUGGCACCUCGAUGUCGGCUCAUCGCAUCCUGGAGCUGAAGUCGGUUCCAAGGGUUGGGCUGUUCGCCCAUUAAAGCGGUACGCGAGCUGGGUUCAGAACGUCGUGAGACAGUUCGGUCCCUAUCUGUCGUGGGCGCAGGAGGUUUGAGGAGAGCUGCCCCUAGUACGAGAGGACCGGGGUGGACGGACCGAUGGUGCACCAGUUGUCACGCCAGUGGCACAGCUGGGCAGCCAAGUCCGGACGGGAUAAGCGCUGAAGGCAUCUAAGCGUGAAGCCCCCUCCAAGAUGAGACCUCCCAUUGG